GGACCCCGGCUGCGGGGCGGCGUCCCGCGGGGUGUGCGGGCGGGCUGGCGGGCGCGGGCGUGGCUGGAGGGGACCCGCCGGACAAGCGAUCGCGCGUGCUCGAGGGACUUGGGACUUCGCGGUCCAGCCCUGGCGGGAGGAGCCGAGCGGCUGUCCCACCCCAGCCCGGUUGACCGCGGCCCUGAGAUGAGGUGAUGCGGGGGCGAGGUCAGGCCCCAGGGGAGGAGAAGCUGGGCCCUGAAGGGAGGCUCCGGUCGGCGGUCGCGGCUGCCCGGUGGAGCCUGCAAGAGGAGGAAGGAAGGGGUCGGUCGGCGGCUGCAGGGCCACUGCGCGGGCGGUGGUGGGGGACAGUGCAGACACCUCCGGGGAGCCUGAUGGCCGGGAAAACAGCAGCCCUGGAAGGAGGGGGAGGCUGGAGAGCCCGGGAAGGGGGCGGGACCAGGGCCGGGGCAGAGAGCCAGGCCCUCAGCUCGGGGUUCCUGGGAGGACCCGCCCACCUGCCCCACUUGGGAGGAGCUGCCGCUCCCAGUCUCUGGAGCUGCGCCCCCUUCACCUCUGGGGCCUGCUGCUAUUCCCACCCUGAGGAAGGCCCACCCUGCUGACACCCCUCCCUAGCUGUGAAGAGGCCCCAACAGCUGUGGGGUGGUGUGGAUCUGAGGACCCCUUCCAAAUGCAGCCGCUGCCUCCCCGGGGGCUGCUAAGAACGUGGGGUAGGAGAGCUGAGCCCUGCACCUGCUCUCUGGACUAUGGCCCCACAGCUAAUAGCCAGGCGGGACUGGCCACCUGGCCUUGAAGCUGAUUCCCGUGUCUCCUUAUCUAUUGCUGUGUAGUGUAACGAGGCGCCCCAAAAUGUCGUGGCUCGAAGCACCCAUUUGUUGCUAAGUGUCUGGGUGCACGGAAGGCCCUGGUUCAGCUCUGCCGUGGGGUUUCUCUGCACUUGUGGUCAGGGGGCCGCAGGGGCCGAAAUCUUCAGGAGGCUCCGCGGGCUUGCACGUGCAGGACGGCUUCAUUGCCCCGUGUCUGGCAGCUCAGCUGGGCGGCCGGAGCCGCGGGGCUGGCUGGCCAUCUGCCCGCACAGGUCCCUUCUGUGAGGCAUGCGGUCUUAGAGCAGUGGGGUGCUCCCCCAGCACAGGGUCACCAGGCCAGACUUCCCGCGACGCACCUCACAUGUCAGGCAGCACUCCUUCGCUGCAUCCUGUGUCAGAAGGCAGGUCUUGGGGCUGCGCGAGGGAGGAGGCUUCACGGGGUUCUGGAGCCCUGGGGAAGCACGGUUCCUGGGGGUUGGUGUCAGAGAGUCGCCAUCACACCGCCCAAUAAACCUAGGGGUUUAUGCUUCCCAGCUUUCGCCGGCUGCCCCGUGUCCUACACACCGGAGAGACACACACCAGGGCCCACCGCCCCAGCAGCCAGGCGGGCGUCUCCUCCACUCGCAGAGCCCCGGCCCGGGCAGAGGAGGAGCCGCGGGGAGCCAGGAGCAUCUGGGAAGAAGAGGCAGCCUCUGCACCCCGCAUUGUUUCCUUGCAGCGGAGGGAAAGUAACAUUUUCAUAAUGCAAGCAGAGGUGGCUGGUGGUGUCCCUUCAGGCUAUCUGCAAGGUGCUGCCCCUAGGGGAAAGGGUCUGGCCGUUCCUCCAAAAGGUAGCCGUCGAGUUGCCGUGGGAUCCACUAGGUACCUUCCCAGGGCUGCACCUAGGACUGGAGAGUGGACUCAGCCGGCGGGUCAGCUGUGUGGCCCAGCCAUAUCAUUCAGCCACAAAGAGUAACAAAAUUCAGAUAAUUCAGACACAAGAACGUUCCAUGCUGACCAUGGCCACCCAGCCCACCUCCCCACGCUCCCCUCCGUCUAGGACGUGGCCAGUGCAGCCUCACUGUGGGCUUGGGGUCAGGAUCCCGGGGCGUGGGCAGGUCUCUGGGGUGAGGUGUGAGUACGCCAUUUCUCUGGAGCGCCUACCGCACGCCCGGGGGCCUGGGAGAGGGACUGGGACAAGUACCCCGCGCCCAUGCAGAAGGGGGCCAGGCUGCGGGAUGGUCUAGCCAAGGAGCCGACGUCCCAGAGACCUGGAGGACGAGGAAGGGCCGGGCCGGCGAACUGAGCUGGCGUGAGCCCUGCGUCCGCACCCCGCACCGCAGAGACCUACGACCGCAAACGUGAUGGCCGAAGACCGCUUAGAUGUAUCAUUCUGCAGCUCUGGGGGCAGGAGUCCGACACAGGCCUCCCUGGGCGAGGACCAGGCCGCACGCUGCGUUCCUUCCGGAGGCUCCGGACAGAACACGUCCUGGCCUUUUCCAGCUCCUAGAGGUGCCCACACACCUGGGCUCUCUCCCUGAUGCUGCUCCCAUCAUCACAUCUCCUCCUCCUCCUCAUAAGGACGCUUGUGAUGACCUCGGGCACACCCCAAUAACCCAGGCUUAUCUCCCCAUCUCACGUCUGUGCCCCGUGAGGUUCCACAGCCGCGGGUCUGGGGGUCAGGACGGGGGCCCAGGGGCACCACAGCCGGGCAGGACCCUGUGUCGGGGGGGCCCUGGGACCGCUCAGUGCCGCUGGAACGCGAGAGGGAUCUGCUCCUCCGCCGUGGGCAGGCGCUGGUGGGACCCCUGGGAGGCUUCUGCUGGCCGCUAACUCCCUUCUCUGGGUAGGAGCUGGGGCCACCUGCUGAGGCCAGGAUGGGAGGGAGGGUGGCUGCACGGCAGUCCCCACAGGGCAGGCUGGGAGUCCUGAUGGCCCGGCCAGCAGGGCUUCCUCGUGGACCAGGUGGGCCCCGGCUCCCCCCAAGGUUCAGCCUUCUCCCAGUGGGGGCGGUGGGCAGCCGCGGGCCCAGAGAGAUGAGGAUACUGGUCAGGGGUCGUGAUAUGAGAGGCUCCGGGGAUGGAGGGCAGUGCCCGCAGGGAGGGCCAGAGGGGCGGCAGGCCAGCAGGAAUGGUGAAGCUGAUCAGGGCUGGGCGUGGAAAGCAGGUGCAGAACUAAUGUCUGGAGCUGAUGUCUCUGCUCAUCCUCUCCGUGUAUCUGUGCUCACGGGGCUGCCUCUUGAUUAUGGGUUGAAGGCAUCAUCCUCUGGCCGUGUGAUCCGUGUAAUGCCUUAGUUGGGACAGGCUCAGCCACAGGCAGCCAGGAGGCCACCCGAAGGAAUGCACACCGCACGGGGCUGACCGUGUCACGGGAGCAGCCUGGAAGGAGGAGGCCUCAGAGCCGUCCCCUGAGCGCUCCACCAUGCACAGCAUGUCAGCCCCACUCACCCGCACGGUCACAGGGUGGCUACCGUGGCCCCGGCAUUGCCUACAGACCCAGUGGCAUCAGGAAAGGGGAGCGGUUUUGCAAUUGGGAGGAAACGCUUGCCCGGAAGGCCCCACUGGGAGGUCCAGUGACCAUCCUCCUGGAAGGUCUGGGCCAGGGCGCGCACUGCCUUCCCUGACACAUACCGCGGAGGGUGAGGAGGAAGUGAGGUGGCCUGGUGCACUGAGGUGCACUCCCUCAGCCCCACAGCCUGGAGAACUCAGCCGUCGUUGGCUUCCCACGUGGAAGCGUGCACGCACGGCCCCCUCUUCCUCUCCCAGGGUGUCCCUCUCGGGGCCCUGCUGUCUCAGUGCUGCGUGAGAGUGGGCACUUGGUAGCCGUUAAGAAUUGCACCCUGCUUACAUUUCCUUCCACACUUGAGCCUCUGGUUUCAUCAUCGCGUCUUGUUCCUUCUUUCGUGAUGGCUCGCUUUACCCGUCCGCGUGGCUGGGCCGCGGGCGCCCAGGCAUUUGGUGGAACAUGACUCCGGUGUUUCCGGAUGAGAUGGGCAUCUGACUCCGUGAACCGAGUAAAGCAGAUGCCGGCCCAGCGUGGGUGGGCCUCGUCCGAUCAGUCGGGGGUGCGAACAGAACAUCAAGGCGGAGAGAGAAUCUGCUGGUCCAGCUGGGACACGGGCCUGCUCGGCCUGGGGGCUCAGAGUGGAGCCCACGGCUGGCUCUCCUGGGUCUGCAGCUCGCCGCCCGCCGGUUGGGGACCUCGCGGCCUGCACCGGGUGACUGGUCCCUUAGAGCGACUUUUAUAUACACACACGUGUGUAUCUGUCCACUUCUCUGGAGAACGCAGGUCAGCGUGCCUGGUCGUCCUGCAAUGGGUGUUCCGUGGCAGCCGCCCCAGGCUGGUGCCCUUCUCCAGGACCCAGGGGGCCCUUGUCUUCUGUCCCAGUGUCACUGACCCCUACCUUCCUCUCCCCUGGUCCUUGUCCUCAUUUUGCUGGCCUUCCUCAUCUGAGAAGUGUCUCCUGAAAGCCGACUGGUUGGGACCCUCUCCUGAUGGGGGUCUGACCAGGUGGCCCAUCCUGGCUUGGCCACAGGGCUGCCCGUUGCUUCUGGUGUCGUUGUAACAGCUGGGCCAAUCCCUGAACCUCUGUGUCCCUCAGGCCGUGUCCGGGUCCUGAAAUUCCAUCAUGCCCCAGUCAGUGACCCUGUCAGUCUGUAAGUGUGUCCGUGUGUCCCCUGCACCUGGCAUCCCCUUCUCCUUCUGCUGUCUCCGAGGUGGUCAGCAUGCCCCGUCCCAUUCCCUUUAACGCAGGGCCGCGGGGGGCUCAUGUGCAUCUGGGCAGGUGUGUUCUUCAUGGGGGACCACAGGGCGGGUGUCCGGCCCUCCCCUGGGGGGCCCGGGUUUUAGGAUCCGGGUCUUUUCUCCAGAGGGGAGACCUCCAGCCUCUGGCCUGAGCCUCGCAGACGGAACGCCGGCCUGCGGUUCUCAGCUCGGACCCCAGAACCCCAGAGCCGCAGAGGGCCGGCCGCUCCGGCUUCGCCUCCGGCCUCUGCCAACUCCCGUGCCCACACCGCCCCGUGUCCCUGCUGCACUUGGAGACACGUCCUCAUAUCCGAUUGUACGUUCCGCCCCUUUGCUUUGCUUUUUCUUUUUCCCUCUUCAAAAUCAACCUCUGUAUCAUUGACCUUCACUCUUCCGUACACGCGUUAGAACGCGUGUGGUAAGACGACAGCAGGAAGUUGAAUCGGAACGGGCGCUGGGUCUGCCGACCACCUGGGAGGAGCUCGGGCCUCGGAGGCUCGCCGCGCGCCCAGAGCCGGCCUCCGCCUGCGUUCAGAUCUGCCGGCCUCGGGCUGUCUCCAGAAGAGCCGCGUGCCUCUCUGCGGGCGGGCGCCCCCACGCCCCGCGCUGUCCCCCCGCUGUGUGGACGCUACCCUACUCCAUGUCCUGCUGCCUCAGUGCUGUGGGAAGGCGCAUCGACGGUUCCGAGUGGCAUGUGUUGUGCAUGCAGAAGAGCAGGGAGGGUCGGUUUGAAGAAAAACAGUGGAAUAGACAUGCAGGAGCCAGGCGGAUGCUGGAGCUGUCCACGGGCAGAGAGGAGCUGGAGCGGGUCACUGGCCAUCUGUGGCUUUCUGUCUUCUGAAGCUAUGUUUUUGGUUGCAUAUAUAUUAUGUUUUUCUGAUCUGCCAGUCAUCUCACAAGUACUAGCCUUCCUCUUGGUCCUUCGUGAUGCUAUUACUUUAAAAUGGUUAUAACGGUCAA